GAUGAAGAACGUAGCAAAAUGCGAUAAGUAAUGUGAAUUGCAGAAUUCAGUGAAUCAUCGAAUCUUUGAACGCACAUUGCGCCCUCUGGUAUUCCGGGGGGCAUGCCUGUUCGAGCGUCAUUAUAACCACUCAAGCUCUCGCUUGGUAUUGGGGUUCGCGGUUCCGCGGCCCCUAAAAUCAGUGGCGGUGCCUGUCGGCUCUACGCGUAGUAAUACUCCUCGCGAUUGAGUCCGGUAGGUCUACUUGCCAGCAACCCCCAAUUUUUACAGGUUGACCUCGGAUCAGGUAGGGAUACCCGCUGAACUUAAGCAUAUCAAUAAGCGGAGGA
rnacentral:misc_RNA from 1 species